UAUUUUACCCCACUAGACCUAGACAGAUAAAAAUACGGAAAAGAAAGGAACGAAAAAGGAACGCUAGGAAUAAUCUUCAUCUUUAGCUAGCAAGAGAGCUAGAAAGAAAAGAGGCGCAGCAGCUUAAGAAAAAGCAGAAAUCCUCCUUCUUCCCAAACACUAUUUUCCUCCAUGAAACUUCACCCAAAAUACUAUUAAAGCAGCCUUCUUUCCCAAGCACCAAGUUUCAGCCAUAAAACUCACCAAAUAACCAGCAAUUUAACACCGUGAAACGACCACCUUCUUCCACUAUUAAUUAGUCCCCAUAACCAUAUGUUAAGCCACCAAAAUCUUCCAUCUAGAAGCCCCAAAAACGACCCCCAUAACAGCCGCGGUUCUUCCAUCAGAAAACACCCCGGAAACGGCCCAAGACAAUCACCAAAAAUCAGUAAAAAAUGGGUUCCCUCAGCUGAAGCUAAAAGGGGUUCGAGAGUUGAGUUCGAGGUUGCUGUCACUGGUUUCCGAUCGUGGUCACUGGUGUUUGGUCCGUUUGUUGAGUUGCAAAGCUUUAAAAUUCGAAUUCGGCAAUAAAGAUCCGUUCUUUUACACAUGUAUCAUGUCUUCCUAGUUUGAUUCAUGGAUUUUGGUUGAAUGAUUAUUGCAUUAGGUUUAUAUCUAUGUGUACAUUGGAGAUGAAAGUAGAGCAAAAGAAAUAUUUAAAGUCUAAAGCGUGCUCGAAAAUAGUUGAAAAAAAGGAAGAAAGAAGUGAGCAGCGGAAAAAUGAGGAAGCUGGCGAAGCUAGCUACUGAGCUCGCGUUAGAGCUGGCGUGGCGAGCCUUUGAGCUCGCGUGGGAGCAGGCGACGCGAGGGAUAAGGCGAGGUUGAGCUCGCGUGGAGGCAGGCGUCGCAUGGUCUGGGGCGAGGUUCAUCUCGCAUUUUACCUCGCGAGACACGGUCUGAGGAAAGCCUGAUCCAGAUUUUGAAGGCAUAUUUCGUCUCCUUGUUUGACUAAUUUAUGUCUUUUCUUACACAUAUAAAUAGACAUUAAACGCCACUUUUGGAGGAGUUUUGCAACCGGGGGCAAGAAUAGCUCGUGGAAUACCCGUUGGGAGAUAGAAUCAUCGAUUUCCACAUUCCUUCAUCUUUACUUUGUAAUUUAUUUAUGCAAAUCACUUGGGAUAUUGUUACUAUGAGUAUGAGUAGCUAAACUUCUAAUGUAGGGUUUUAAUGGAACUUAUUGGAGAAUGAUUUUCCUGUUACGUUAAUA